AACUCUCCUAAGCUUGGGAGGGAGUAAAUUGUUCUGCUCUUUUGCAAACCCCAUAAUUCAUUAGCCGCUUGCACCUGUCAUGUUGUUUGUUUCCUUCCUAGUGGGAAUAUGUGCCCCUUCCAGAAGCCACCACCCCCUGCGACCAAAGCGACAGCAGAGAGAUGCGUAUCUGUGUCACUUACAUCUGUUUUAUAUCUGUGAUUUUUAGGGCCUGGCUAUUUUGUGAUAUUCCAGUUACUCCUGAUGAAGUAGGAAUGCUUACACUUUGAACCAGAUAUUUUUAUUUCUUUACAGUUCAACUAAUACGUACUUAAAAACGCUUUUUCUGCUUUGGUUUGGUUCCUUGUGUGUGGGGUAGUGGUGGGGGGUGUGUGUGUGUGGGUGCGACUUGGAUAAUAAGGGAGAGGGGUUUAACAAGAAAUCAUGCAGAAACACGAGUGUGAGCUUCACCAAAAUGCAGCUGCUGAGAGAUAACGUCCUUCCCUCAUCUGUGGGAUUUUUUUUUAAGUUGCCUCUCCUGACUCAUCUCAGUGGCAAUUUAUUUCCAGGCGGUUCAACUUUACUUUCACACUUUCAUUUUUCUGCGUGGCUUUAAACAGAGCAUGGACGUACUUGAGUUGUCAGCCAUGUUGGGAAACUUUUAAAUCGUUGUAAUAUUUUCAAUAUGAGCCUGACUGGUUGACAAUUAGUUUUUGAAAGUACCUUUUGGUCUCUACUAUAUUCCCCUCCACCUUUGAGCUCUCAGCUAUAUUUGAAAGCCUAAUAAUAAAAUCCCGAGCACAGAUUUUUCUCAUGACAACAUUCUUGGACCAUGAUUACGGUUUUAUAAAGCUGUGUCCUCAUGGGCCAGAUGACAUUUCUGGCUUGUUAUUUGUAGAGCCAUCUUAACCUUGAACUGUCUUUAAGUCCUUCCCAGUCAGCGCUGGGGGACAGAGCCCCCUGCUGGAGGUUCUGGGCACCCGGAUUUCCACUGGGACCGCAAGGUCCCUCCCAGUCGCUGGGAGACAAGGAAUCUAACAGCGAAAAAACAGACGGGAUGCUUUGGACUGACAACAAAUAUUCACCACCCUGAAACUGCACUUGAUUCCUUCACACGGGAAGCUUCUGGAAGCUGUAAGGGUGACAGGUAUCAAAAAAGAAGGAAGACUGCCCCCAGGCCGGGAGGGUCUGUUGGUGUGCUGCUCUUGUUCCAUGAAAUCCAGUGCAUUCCAUAGAAAUUCUAGAAGUCUUCACAUGGCUAGCUCCUCCCUGCUGCUUCUGAAUUGGUUUCCCAGACAAACUAUUUGGGACAUAUUGUCACUGAAACAUUAUUCACUGUUUAUCUGAAGUUCAAAUUCGACUUUCUAUCCUCUGGCCACUCUAAUUCCUAGUG
rnacentral:lncRNA from 1 species